rnacentral:rRNA from 1 species
GGUUGAUCCUGCCAGUAGUCAUAUGCUUGUCUCAAAGAUUAAGCCAUGCAUGUCUAAGUAUAACGACCUUAUACUAGAAAACUGCAGAUGGCUCAUUAUAUCAGUUAUAGUUUAUUUGAUUGUGCUUACUACUUGGAUAACCGUAGUAAUUCUAGAGCUAAUACAUGCGCAAACACCCGACUUCUGGAAGGGUGGUAUUUAUUAGAUACAAAACCAACUCGGGCUUGCCCGGUUCCUGGUGAUUCAUGAUAACUUCGCGAAUCGUAUGGCUUUACGCCGACGAUGGUUCAUU